rnacentral:rRNA from 1 species
GGGGGGGGGGGGGGGGGGGCGGGGGGCAGGGAAGGGGGGCGAACGGGUAAGGAGCUGGCGCCGUUGACGGUAGCGGCGGACGGGUGAGUAACACGUGGAUAACCUACCUAUAAGACGGGGAUAACUUCGGGAAACCGGAGCUAAUACCGGAUAACAUAUUGAACCGCAUGGUUCAAUAGUGAAAGGCGGCUUUGCUGUCACUUAUAGAUGGAUCCGCGCCGUAUUAGCUAGUUGGUAAGGUAACGGCUUACCAAGGCAACGAUACGUAGCCGACCUGAGAGGGUGAUCGGCCACACUGGAACUUGGACCCGGUCCAGACUCCCACGGGAGGCAGCAGUAGGGAAUCUUCCGCCAUGGGCGAAAGCCUGACGGAGCAACGCCGCGUGAGUGAUGAAGGUCUUCGGAUCGUAAAACUCUGUUAUCAGGGAAGAACAAAUGUGUAAGUAACUGUGCACAUCUUGACGGUACCUGAUCAGAAAGCCACGGCUAACUACGUG